AUGACAGUUGGGCAUCUGAGCUGUAUCAACGGUAUCCUUCCUGAAGGUCAUCAAUUUAACGUUGAGGAAGUAGUGGACUAUAUUGAGAUGGAGAGAAUUUUUAUUGGUGAUAUGCGUGACGGUGCUGCUGAUCUAGUUCAGAGCUCGGUUCGUCUGUUGAACAACAUGAAGCGUUUCAAAACUAUGCAUGACUCUCGCUGCAAGCCAUAUGAAGAAAGUGCAAAUGUUGUUAUCAAGCAAAUUGAGCAGGAUGAGGCUGCUGCCGCUGACAGCAGGGCUGGUGAUGGUACCGAGGCUAAUGUUUUUGAUCACGAAACGAAUGAUGUUGGCUUGGAGUGCCCUGUUGUUGAUAUUGAGCAGGAUGAGGCUGCUGCCACCGACAGCAGGGCUGAUGAUGGUAUUGAGGCUAAUGUUUCUGAUCACCAUACGAACGAUGUUGGCUUUGAGCACCCUGUUGUUCAUGAGACCAGUCAUGAUGUUGAGGCUGCUGUUGACCGUGGAGUUAAUGAUCCAUCUACUAAUAAGUGA
rnacentral:rRNA from 1 species